GGCGGCCCCCUGGACAAAGACUGACGCUCAGGUGCGAAAGCGUGGGGAGCAAACAGGAUUAGAUACCCUGGUAGUCCACGCCGUAAACGAUGUCUACUUGGAGGUUGUGCCCUUGAGGCGUGGCUUCCGGAGCUAACGCGUUAAGUAGACCGCCUGGGGAGUACGGCCGCAAGGUUAAAACUCAAAUGAAUUGACGGGGGCCCGCACAAGCGGUGGAGCAUGUGGUUUAAUUCGAUGCAACGCGAAGAACCUUACCUGGUCUUGACAUCCACAGAACUUUCCAGAGAUGGAUUGGUGCCUUCGGGAACUGUGAGACAGGUGCUGCAUGGCUGUCGUCAGCUCGUGUUGUGAAAUGUUGGGUUAAGUCCCGCAACGAGCGCAAC
rnacentral:rRNA from 1 species